rnacentral:rRNA from 1 species
UACGUAGGGUGCGAGCGUUAAUCGGAAUUACUGGGCGUAAAGCGUGCGCAGGCGGUUUUGUAAGACAGAUGUGAAAUCCCCGGGCUUAACCUGGGAAUGGCAUUUGGGACUGCAAGGCUGGAGUGUGGCAGAGGAGACUGGAAUUCCCGGUGUAGCAGUGAAAUGCGUAGAUAUCGGGAGGAAUACCGAUGGCGAAGGCAGGUCUCUGGGCUGACACUGACGCUCAUGCACGAAAGCGUGGGGAGCAAACGGG